AUUGAACGCUGGCGGCAGGCCUAACACAUGCAAGUCGAGCGGAUGAAGGGAGCUUGCUCCUGGAUUCAGCGGCGGACGGGUGAGUAAUGCCUAGGAAUCUGCCUGGUAGUGGGGGAUAACGUCCGGAAACGGGCGCUAAUACCGCAUACGUCCUGAGGGAGAAAGUGGGGGAUCUUCGGACCUCACGCUAUCAGAUGAGCCUAGGUCGGAUUAGCUAGUUGGUGGGGUAAAGGCCUACCAAGGCGAGGAUCCGUAACUGGUCUGAGAGGAUGAUCAGUCACACUGGAACUGAGACACGGUCCAGACUCCUACGGGAGGCAGCAGUGGGGAAUAUUGGACAAUGGGCGAAGGCCUGAUCCAGCCAUGCCGCGUGUGUGAAGAAGGUCUUCGGAUUGGAAAGCACUUUAAGUUGGGAGGAAGGGCAGUAAGUUAAUACCUUGCUGUUUUGACGUUACCAACAGAAUAAGCACCGGCUAACUUCGUG
rnacentral:rRNA from 1 species